CAGGGGGAUGGGGGCAGGGGGAUGGGGACAUUGGGAUGGGGGUGGGGGGAUGGGGACACUGGGAUGGGGGUGUGGGGACAGGGGGAUGGGGACGCUGGGGACAGUGGGGGGACGGGGCACUGGGAACAUUGGGGAUGGGGAAUGGGGUUGGGAUGGGGAUGGGGACAGGAUGGGGAGAGGAUGGGGACAGGGAUGGGGACAGGGACAGGAUGGGGAUGGGGACAAGAUGGGGAAGAGGACAUGGAUGGGGACAGGAUUGGGACAGGAUUAGGACUGGGAUGGGGACAAGGAUGGGGACAGGGGAUGGGGAAAGGGAUGGGGAGAGGAAGGGGACAGGGACAGGAUGGGGACAGGGACAUGGAAAGGACAGGAUGGGGACAGGGACAGGAUGGGGACGGAGGCAGGAUGGGGAUAGGGACAUGGAUGGGGACAGGGACUGGGAUUGGGAGAGGGGACAGGGACACGGGUGGGGACACCGCGGUCAAUGGGGCCACCAUGGGCACUGGGGGACACCUGGGGACAGGAGCACCUAGGGGUAAGGUCAGAUUUUGGGACACAAGGGACAGGGGGGCACCAGGGAGAGUUGGUGGGGACAUGGAGGCAGGGACAUGGGGACAAUGGGGAUGGGGACAUCAGGACACGAGGGGCAGCGGGGAUGGGGACAGCGGGGACAGAUGGUGGGGACACCUGGGGACACACGGACAUCAGGACACAGGGACAUGGGGACAAUGGGGACACGGACAAGGGAGAGCCCCCGGCCGGACGGUGUGGAGGGGGACCCGGGGGACCCCCAGCCCCAAACCCAGGAGAUGGGGGGGGCGCCCCUUGCUCCAGGGUGGCCCCUCGGCUUUGGGGACGCCGUGGGGACAACGUGGGGACAGCGAGGGGGCUCUCACCGUGUGCGGGCACAGCGCCCGUCCCCGCGGGGCCGCGCUCCCGGUUGAGGACGGUGCAGGGGGCUGCAAGGAGAGACGGCGGCGGCGUCACCCAGGGAGGGGACACGGGGAGGGGGGUGGGGAGGGGGGGACGGGGGGGGGCGGGGGGGACGGGGGGGGGAGGACGGGGAGGUGGCGCUCGGGGCCGGGGGCCACUCACCCUUCUUCUUCUUGCGGCCGGGGCGGCCCCGCUUCAGCUUCUUGAUGCGGGCGGCGGGGUCGGAGCGCGCCGAGGCGCUGUGCACGCUCGAGCUCUCCGCGUCCGACUCCUCCUCCGCCUCCCCCGCGUCCUCGCUCUGCAACGGGACGGGGACACGGGGACACUGGGGA
rnacentral:lncRNA from 1 species